UACGGGGGGGGCAAGCGUUGUUCGGAAUUACUGGGCGUAAAGGGCUCGUAGGCGGCCAACUAAGUCAGACGUGAAAUCCCUCGGCUUAACCGGGGAACUGCAUCUGAUACUGUAUGGCUUGAGUUCGGGAGAGGGAUGCGGAAUUCCAGGUGUAGCGGUGAAAUGCGUAGAUAUCUGGAGGAACACCGGUGGCGAAGGCGGCAUCCUGGACCGACACUGACGCUGAGGAGCGAAAGCCAGGGGAGCAAACGGG
rnacentral:rRNA from 1 species